GAAAAGCCUCAAAAUCGAAAUAAAGAGCAAGAUGAUUUCUAGCAUAAACUCCGUUAAGAUCAUUCUGAAUGUUUCGUAAAUUGUCUAUGGGAGGAGAGAGGAAGUAAGGACAUUAGGAGGCCAUGAUAGUUCAAGGAAGAGAAAAUGGCAGCUUGCAAUAAGGUGUCCAUGGGAGAGGAACAUGGAUGAAUUGAGACCUGUUUGGGUGGUAUGAACCAAAAGGACUUGCUGGUGAUGUGAUCUUGGAGGCAGCGGUGAAGGAAAGAGAAUAAUCUAUAAUAACACCAAAGUCUGGGACUUGAGGAGGUAGAGAAUGGUGGGGUUAUUUUAAGAGAUGUGAGCUAACAUAAGAUCAUUUCUAUCAUUAUUAACACCAUUGAUUCUUCUUGUUCUAGCCUAGUGCUCCUCAAAAUCGAAAUGUAAAUAGGAAUUACCUGGGAAUCUUGUUAAAAUGCAGAUUCUGAUUUAGUAUCUGGACACUCUGUCAUGUUCAAUUGAUCUAUAGAUCUAUAGCAGUGUAUUCUUCCUCUAAUACACUGCUUUAUUACGGUAGGUUCAUAUAUAAUCUUAAAACCAGGAAGUAUGAUUCCUUCAACUUUACUCUUCCUUUUCAAAAUUGUGUCCUAACUUUGCUAAACUCACUUAUGAGUUCUAGAGAAGAAUUUUCUCAAAUUAUUGAAAGAAAACAAACCACAGAUCCAAGAAUCCCAAAGAAAUCCAUGGAUGUUACAUACAAAGGGAAAUCCAUGGAUGAUACAUACAAAGGAAAAUAAAACUAAGCACAUCUUACUUGAAGUGCUGUAAACCAAAAAUAAAGAGAGCACCUUAAAGGCAGCCAGAAUAGGACUCACUCCAUACAGUGAAACAAAAUGAGAAUGACAGUAGACUUCUUGUCAAUAACUAUGCAAACUAAAAGAGAGUGGAGCAUUAUCUUUAAAAUACAGUCAUGUGCUGAAUAAUGACAUUUUGUUCAAUGACAGGUCACAUAUAUGAUAGCGAUACCAUAAGAUUGUAAUGGAGCUGAAAAAUUUCCAUUGCCUGCUGACAUCUUGAUAAUCGUGAACCUGCAUAGGCUUAAAAUAAUGUGUUUUUGUCUUAGUUUUUAACAAAAAUGUUUAAAAAGUAAAAAUAAAUAAAUAAAUAAAAUUGUAAAAAAUAGAAAAAAGCUUACAGAAUAAAGAUAUAAGAAAGAAAAUGCUUUUGGACAUCUG
rnacentral:lncRNA from 10 species